rnacentral:lncRNA from 1 species
AAAUCUUUGAAAAGAGAGCAUGUUUUCAGCAGGGACAGUGAAUCACUGUGAUUUGCAGAAACAGGCACAAAGCAAUUAGCCAUCUGGAUUCUGUGGCUUCCAGCUCCCCAGCGGAAACUUCAAGCAAGCGGAAGGCUGGUCAUUACACAGCCCAGACCCAGCACUCCAGGCUCCACAGAUAACUGUGCCUCCAGCCGGCUGGGAAUCCAGAGACUUGGGACAAAGGGCAACUUGGCAAGAAACAGAAAAGUGGGCAGGAAAAGCAACAACAGCCGCAGGGAGCCAGUACUACUUCCUUCUUCCUGUGAGUGUCCCUCAGAAUCCAUCAUGACUGAGUGAGUUCACUCACCUGAUAAGCAUUUGUUGAUCACCUACUGUCUCCCAUGCCUUGUUCUAAUGCAUAAAUUAUGGCAUUUAAUCCUCAUAAUAUAUAUUAGAGGAGUUCCACCCAUGGCACAAUCCCAGGGAACCAAUCACAUGAUAUCUGAUAUGAACAGCACUCCCUGGAAAUACAAAACACAGUGGACUUGCCUCAGGUAGAUUGCUAUGUUUUGUUUUGUUUUGUUUUGUUUUUAAUCAAUGAGGAAAUAAGAGAAAAAUAAGAUGACUUGAAUUUGCUCAAGGUAAGUAGCAGGACUGAGAGGAACUGAGAAUUCUGUGCCCUAACUUGUAUGAACCAUGCUUACAAAUUACUCCUAUCUGGCUCAGAAGGUUGUGAGAACUACAUAAUACUCAUGGAUGUGAAAGGGUCUUAUAAACUGUAGAGUGCCGUAGAUGGCUGAACUAUUAGAAAGCAGUUCCACCGGCUCCCACCAACUUUCUGAGACCUAAGAUACUGUUCCUUGAUUCAUUUCUAGAAACUGCUAGGGAGUAUUGAUAAACCCACACAGGAAAUGAAUUAGCAAGCCUUUCCAAGAAGAGAAAGUAAGAAAGAGUGACCAGCAGAGUUUGUUCAAGGAAGCCUGGCUGGACUGAACUGUGAUUAGAAACUAAGGAGGUCCUGGCUCUGUUCUCCCUCGGUUUCCAUGAGAAGAGGGAAGCCAGGAAGGGAGAACACCACUGAGGCUGACCAGAGCCCAGGUCUCCUUACAGAGGUGCCCAGCUCCUCUUGCCUGCUUGAGUUUACUGUGGGUUCCUUGACUAAGCCUUCCUGCUUCAUGCUUUGGGAAAGUGCCUCUCCAGAGUCUCAGUUAAGAGCUAUUUGGCCUAGUUCAGGACUCUGCAAUGGCCUAGAAGGCCCCACACUUUGACGCUAAGGCGUUGUCAUUUGCUGGUCACAUCUGCAGUCCAUCCAACUGCUGCUGGAAGGACCAGCUCUCAGAGAGAGAGAAAAUGAAAAGCAAAAGCAGAGGGGAGUGCCAAGAGGAAGGACCAGGGAGGCGGAUGAUGAAGAGUCCAGCCCUGCUUCUUCCUGGCUGUGACUUGGGCAAAGUGGCUUACCUGUCCUUGCUUUCUUCUGGUAUAACCUGGAGUUAAUGUUUCUGUCGUCCCCCAGGGCGGUGGUGAGGACCCAGGGAGCUCACAGGCCCUGGACCAGAGAGUUUAAACAAACAGGAGGGUGGGAACUGCCAGGUGCCGGGAGGCUUCCUGGCUCAGCAAUGGCUGCCGAGUGAAACACAAGCUGGAUGUUACCAAAUCUUUUUAUUUGUCCAGAAAAAUCAGAAAUCUUGAUUUGUAUGUGAACUUUUCCAAACUUCAAAACCCUGUGAGGGCAGAAGAAAACCUGUCUGCAGGUCAUCAGGUGGGGGUGUGCAUGGCCACUGGUCCCACAGGUUUUGGAGCACACGCUCCUUUUGUUGUGGGGACAAACGAGGCAAGGCACCAGAGACAGCAGGAAACAGUUUUAUUUGACUACAGUCAGGUUCAGAGGACACAGCUUUUGCUGUAAUCAAUCAAUCCCCCGAACCCCGAGUUCAGGGAGUUUCAGAGUUUUAUACCCAGCAUAUAAGGGGAGGGGCUCAGAAGUUCACAGUCUGCAGAAGUUCACAUAAAAGCAGCUUUUUCUCUCACUGUUCUGGGCAAGCUAACCCUUCAAGGACAACACCUGAGAAGGGGAGAGCUUCUUCUCUCCUUCUUUCCUCCCCCUCCAGCUGUUACCAUGGAGCCCAGUUGUAACUUAUCUUAAAAAUGUAGACAUCUCGGUGAAGCCCAGCUCAAGGCCAGAGGCCUUGUUUGCACAUUUCUACAAAGUACUAUACUGGAUAUGUUUGUGAAAGACUAGUAAGGGGGUGUCCAGCACCUGGAGCGCUGGUAUCUUCCCGGCCAGUGGCCAAGUAAACAGGUCGACAGGAAAAUAGGAAGUUUAUCUACAUUGAACUCUUUUGCAGAAACUCUUUGCUGAUAGUCCUAAAAUCAGCCAUGGUGAAGAGGGCUUUUCUGUGGAGAAAGGGGUGCCACUUCACCUUUACUGCCUGUCAUGCCCAUUUCACAUCUGGAUGGCUGGACCAUGGAGGUCCUGCCCUUCCCUGAAGGUGGCCGUUGUCACCCACACUGUAAACUGGGCAGGAGUGGGCUCAGGGCUGUCACCUGCAAGGGAGAGGAGCAAGGGCCAGGCCACAGAGGGACCAAGGAGCCUCUGGCCUCCCUCGGGCAGAGCUUAGGAGCUGGGGGGCAGCAGGAAGAUUCUCGGGGCUCUUCUCCCCAACGACCAGCAACCCCCAAAGCCCCAUUGGAAGGGACUCCCUCUAGCUGGGAGCCCGGGAGCCAGCAGCCUCCCCCCUCAGGCCUCUCCUCCGCCUCUCCCUCGCCGCCUCUCCGUGCGUCCUGCAGCAAGCGUAGCCGCAGCGUUUGCACCAGCCCUUCCCAGCCAGGCUGCGCCUUCCGGGCUCCACCAGCCUUCGCCACCCUCCGACCCCCGACCCCCCACCCUUCGCUGCGGCUUUCCCAGGCCCGCUCGUCUGGAGAGGCCUGGAGUCUUCAGAGAAGGUUCGGGAAACGCUUGCGUCGGCGCCGGCUCAUUCCCUCCUGCAUGGCUGGCCCCGUAGUGUCCCUGGGAAAGGCCCCAGAAGAAGCCCACACAACCUCUUUCUUUGCUUUGGCACUUCCCAGUGAAUCUUCCAGGUGAGGAAUUUUCCACAGCCCGUGUCCCCUCCCUGUGUCCUGCCGUAGGAUCCUGUGGCUGCAGAAGGUGGGCAGAGACCAGGGCUUGUCUCUCCCCACCUGUGCAGCCAAGCGACUUGACCUCAGCACCCGCCAAUGGACAAGGCUUGAAGUGUGCAUGGAUAUUGUGUGACCCAGGAUUUAUAUACCCAAGAGAAAUGAAAAACAUGUCCACACAGAAACUUGUACACAAAUGUUCAGAGCAGCAUUGUUUACAAUAACCAAAAUGUAGAAACAACGCAAAUGUCCAUCAACUGAUAAAUGUGAUAUAUCCAUAUACGGGACUGUUUUUCAGCCAUAAAAAAGGAAUAAAGUACUGGUACAUGCUACGUUAUGGAUGAAUCUUGAAAACAUUAUGCUAAGUGAAAUAAAGUGAGUCAUAAAAGAUGACAUAUGGUUCCAUUUAUAUGCAAUUUCCAGAAUAGGCAAAUCUAUAAAGACAGAGUAGAUUAGCAGUUGCUUAGGGCUCAGGUGGAGGGGUGUAGGAAAGUAAUAGCUAAAAGGUACAGAGUUUCUUCUGGAGGUGAUGAAAAGGUUCUAAAUGGGACUGUGGUGAUGGUCGCACAUAUUUGGGUGAGUGUAUUAAAAACCACUGGAUUAUAUAAUUUGGUGAACUAUAUGGCAUGUGACUUAUACCUCAAUCAAGCUGUUAUAAUAAUAUGUACACAUGGAGAAACAGAGAAAGUAAGAGAUAAAAUGUGGCAAAAAAUAUUAACCACUGUUGAAAUUGGGAGGAUAUUCAGAAAUUCACUGUACUAUUCUUGUAUCUGAAAUUAUUUCAAAAUUUAAAAGAUGAUAUUUAAAAAGAGAGAAACUUAGUCAUCUACCCAUCUUCCACCAGAGGCUGGUCUAUGGAGAGGUUGUGGUACAUCUCUGUAGUCUGACAGACCAGGACUCAACUUCACUGUUUACUAAUCCUAUAACCUUGACCUCUCAGUUUCCUCAUCUGUAAAAUGGUAAUAAUACCAAUAGUACAUACCUAGGAGAACUUUUGUAAGGGUUAGAGACAGUAUGCAUUAAGCUCUUAAUGUAUUUUUUAAUAGAUUUUUUUUAAAGAGAGAGAGAGAGAGAAAUUUUUAAAUAUUUAUUUUUCAUUUUUUGGUGGACACAACAUCUUUAUUUUUAUUUUAUGUGGUGCUGAGGAUCGAACCCAGUGCCCCACACAUGCCAGGCAAGCUUGUUACUGCUUGAGCCACAUCUCCUGAGUAUUUUCCACAUGUAUUUUUUUUGUACCAACCAUUCCCAACUUUUUUUUAGAUUUUGUUUUGGGAUAGGGUCUUGCUAAGUUGCUGAGGGCCUAGCUAAAUUGCUGAGGCUGGCCUUAAACUUGCAAUCCCCCUGCCUUAGCCUCCUGAGCUGCUGGGAUUACAGAUAUGCACCACUGUGCCUGGCAAAGCUCUUAAUUUUUAUGUAGUAUGUGCUCAAUAAAUCUUAGCUAUUAUUCAUAUACCAACAAUUUUUAAAUAAUGCAUUGUUUCUUAUUACAAAAGUAGUUCAUGUUCAUGAUGGAAAAUAUAUAAGCAAAGAAGUAAAAAUCAGUAACCCCUAAAAUUCUGUGAAAAAAAUCACUAAUAAACUAAUAUUUUGGGUUAUGUACAGUAUACAUAGUAUAUGUUACACAGUAUUUAGCAUAUGAACACAUUAUUUUGUAACAUAUUUUGUUUACUGUACAUAACAGGCAUCUAUUGAGUAUUUUCCACAUGUCAGACGCUAGACUUAAAGCUAAGAAUUCUGACAUGAGUAAGAUAGACACCCAACCCUUGGAAGUAAGUGAAACCUAGAAAUAAGAGACAAUUUUAUCAAAUUAUCCCCUCUAAUUAUUAUUCACCAAUAAUUAGAGGGGACAAUUUGAUAAAAGCCACCUUGGGAAAGAAGAAAAGAAGGGCCUGCCCUGCUCAAACUAAACAUAUUAGAAGCUCAGAGGCUAAAGAAAAGUUUCAGAGAAAUGAGAAAGUGCUGUUGGAGCAAAUGAAACUUUGUGGGGACCAGCCCCGCAUGUUCGUGUGCUGCUUCCACAAGUGGAUCAUGGAAGAAGAUCAUAAGGGACCUUAAAUGUCACACCAACAUUACAGUACGACACUGCCUUCAGGGGUUAAAAGAGACUUACAACCUUCGAAAUCUCUCUUAUGACAUAGUACUUAGAGUCCUAGAUAUUAGAGCCAGAAAGACUGAGUUUAAAGUCUAUCAGUGCCUCUUACCAGCUGUGUGACUUUGGGCAAAUUACUUACCCUUUCUAAAACUCAGUUUCUCAUGUGGACAAUGGAAAAAUAAGAGUCAAUUUCUAUAGAUUGCUGUGAGGAUUAAGUGAAUUUUCAGCACAUGUAGCAUACUUAAAUCAAUGUCUGAAGCAUAGCACAAGCACUUCCUACUAUUUUUCCACCUAGUACUAGGGAUUGAACCCAGCCCCUUUUCCUUCCUUCCUUCCUUCCUUCUUUCUUUCUUUUUUCCCCCUGAGACAGGGUCUAAGUUGUCCAGGUUGGCCCUGAACUUGGGAUCCUCAACCUCCCAAGUAGCUGGAAUUACAGGUGUAUGCCACCAUGCACAGCCUCAAUCCUCCUUGGUAGCAACUGAAUAUUCAAUAACUAAGCCCCAAGAAAGUGCAAUAAAGAACAACGUGGGAUACCCAGGGUCCUGGGGUAACAGGAGCAGGUCAUUUGCCAGAGCUAAAGCAGGGACUCUCCUAGGAGCCAAGCCCUGAGAAAAGAGAGGUUGAGAAAGGAGCCUUAUUACAGAUCACUUCUGGGUGCCUUGACUAACCUCUGGCCCCACCUCUGCACUCAUCCCCCAGUCCCCACCCCCAUCAGGAAGGCAUCAUCUUCCAGAGCUGGAGCUGGGCCUGCGUGGUGGCCUCCUCUCUUAGAAGAAAGCUGUGAUGGGAACCCUUUUCUUUAGGGAGGAAAUGGGCAAGGAAUGACAUUUAUGUCCCCACAUGUAUGCAAAUUAUCUGAUGAGAUAAAUGAUUUUGUAGGAAAACAUAUCCUGUUCACUCUAGAGCAUUUCCCCUGACGUCUGUAACAAGUUGGGGUGGUCAGGGUCAAAGCCACUAUUGAGGGAGUUCCUGGCCACUGGCCCCUCCCAGAGGUGUCAGAGAGGUGCUGGAAAAGGGAGGCUAUAGGUUUGGCAAUCCCAGGCAUGGCAGCUGGAAAGGGGACUGGCACAGGGCACUCGCACUCCCUCCAUCCAGUUUCUCCUAACCAACAAGGGAUGGGAAAAGCCUGGUAGAGCAGCAUCUGGGGAGCCAGGAGGCCUGGCUUCUGGGACUCACUCAGCACCUUACCCACAGUGUGACCUUGGACAUUUUCCUCUCUAGGUCUAAGUUUUUUUUCUGUCAGAUAAUUAAGUCCAUUUUGAUUAUGUCAAAUGAGAGGGUUGAAUUAUAUCAAGUGUUUUCAAUGUGGAGUACACAGACCCUCCAAUCAUAAAUGGGCUCCAGGGCAUUGGUGCCACCCUUAAGUGUAGGCAAUAUUCUGUGCAUGUGUGUUUUUUUCUGGAAAGGAGUGCAACGCUAUCUUUAGGUCACCCAGAUGAGUUUAGGUGACCUCUGUGGUCCCUUGAGUUGGGUGUUGGGUAGAUGGAAGCUUCUUGAGGGUGAUGGUGUGUCUUAUAACAUCAGUACAGCAUAGUAUGUGGCACAUAGUCGGUAUUUGAUAUUAAAUGAAUGAAGACACUCAUAAAUGCUGGAAUAUGACUACAGCGAGGGAUGGAGAUGGAUGUUGGUGCAGGGUCUCAGUGGUAGGAGUGAAAUCGCUCAGUGACAGGGCUGGUAAGGGGUUAGGUGAUGGGGAAUAAAGAGAAGGUAUAAUCUAAAAAUGCAGACUGAAAUCUGCUCUGCUUGGAGACUGCAGUUUAAGGUCAUACACCUCUCACCUUCCCCUUGGUUCCCUGUGGGAAAUUCAACUGAGUCAAACCCAGCCCAAGGUUCAGCACCUAAAUGGGUUUGGUUGUUGCAUUUAAUAUUCCAAAGUUUGUUUCUUUCUUUUCAAUGCUUGGGAUUGAACUCAGGGACUCACAUAUGCUAGGCAACAGCUGUACCACUGAGCUACAUCCCCAGCCCUAAAAUUCCCCAGUUUCUCUGACUAGAAAACCCAUCGAACUUGAAAAAUGCAGCCUGGUUUCUGGUGAUCACUGGGGCUGGUGCAAGAGCGAGAAUGAAAGCACAGAGUUAAGAACUGGAGAUGUCACUCAGUGGUAGAGCUUUUGCCUAGCAUGUGGGAGACCCUGGGUUCAACCUCUCUUCUUCCCUCAGACCACCCUUCUUCCUUUCUUGGACUCUUUACAAACCUGCCCCGCUUUCUGUGGGGCUCCCAAUGCUUGGUCCCUGGGACUCUGCUCUUCUUCAUGGUGAGCCUCCUCAGAAAAGUUUUGACUGAUACUUCUACAACUACAAGGUGAUGGAUAGUAGAGGACGUGCUCACCCCCAGAUAAGGGACAGACUUUGCGGAUGAGAGAAGACUCUGAUGAACCAUCCCUGGGUGAACUGCCCAUCUUCUCUUGCAUAGUGGCUGGUCUCCCACUGCUGCCCAGUGGCUCUGACAUGGGCUAGGGGAGCAUUUGCAAACUCCCUGUCACCUAGAAAGGAAGCACCAUUGAGUCAUAAGUCACUGGGCCACCAAUGUGGACAAUCUGUGAUGUGUUUCAGAGUUUUGGAAUAUUUCAAAUUUAAAAGUUUUUGGAUUGGAGAUGCUCCACCUGUAUUGUAAUAGAAAUAUAUUGAACAAAAUACUUUGGAUUUGGAUGACGCACAAACUUGUGAAAACAAUGAUGUCCAAAAGCUUUCCCUAUUGAUAUUUAUUCCCUUUCUUGGGGAACUGCUCUCAUAUCACUCACUCAAGCAUGUCACUGGGAGCUGCCAAUCUGUGUAUUGCACCAGAGUUCACAGCUUAUAAAACAGCUUGGGCAAUCACAAACUCUAGUGGCCCUUUGGUUGUAGUUGAUUGGUCUAGGAAAAGUCAGAUGACCCAAGCCGAUCCAGUCAGAAAGUUUCCACACCUUUUUCCUUUAAAUUUUUAAAAAUUAAUUAAUUAAAAAUUAAUUAUGUAUAUAAAUUAUAAAUGGAUAUGUUAUCAUUGAAAAAAGUCAAAGAGAUGGGGAUGUAACUCAGUGGUAGAGCACUUGUCUAACAUGUACGAGGCCCCAGGUUCUAUUCCAAGCACCAAAAAAAAAAAUUAAAAGAGGGCUGGGGUUGUGGCUCAGUGAUAGAGCGCUUGCCUAACAUAUGUGGGGCCCUGGGUUUGAUCCUCAGCACCACAUAAAAAUAAAUAAAAUAAAGGUAUUGCGUCCAACUACAACUAAAACAAAAUAAAUAUUUUAAAAAAUUAAAAGAAAAUAAAAAUGAACCUGACAGUCUGCUUCAAUCCCAACCCCUUAAAUUUACCUGUUUGGAGGAAAUGAAGAUCUGUGAAUUCAGACCUUUCUCUGUGCAUUGCAUUCAUUUAGAAAGAUAUGUUUGCAAGCAGGAGGAGUGGCAUAGGCCUAUAAUCCUGGCUAUUCAGGAGACUGAGGCGGAGGAUCUCAAGUGCAAGACCAGCCUAUGCAACAAAAUGAGACCCUGUCUCAAAAUAAAAUACAAGUCUAAUUAUAUAGAUUAGUGGUAGAGCACUGGCCUAACACACACAAAGCUUUGAGUUCAAUCCCCAGCACUGUACAAAGAAAGAAAAGAAAAAUAUAUGUUGCAAGCACACAUAUAGAUAUAUCUAGUACUAUUUCAAGGUUUUGUUUUUGUUUUUGCUGAUGCUUGAGCAAGACCAUAUUGUAUGUAUCAUUCUACAAAUUACUUUUCUCAUUUACCAAGAUGUCUUAGGGGUUUAAGUUAGUAUAUAACUUCAUUCUUUUGAACAAUUUCCACAUUUUCAGAGUACAAAAUGUGCCAUGGCUUAAACAUGAACAUUUAGAUUAUUCCUAAUUUUUCCCUAUAAAUAAUACUUCAAGUAACAUCCUCCAGUAUGUUUCCUUAGUCUGGAUUUUGAGAAGUAGCAUUAGUAUCCACAUUUCCACAUUUAAAGUCAGAUUAGAUACUGCCACAUCAGAGGACAGCUGGGUCCUGAACCUGGUCAUUCCUUCCUUGCUGUAUCCAUAGUGAGCUUAUGUGAGCCAACACCUUCUCCUUUGGGGCUCAAGCUAAUAAGAGAUGUGUUUCUGUUACUUUCAGCCAAAAGACUGAAUUUCUGAUUAAAAUGUAUAGAUGAGGAUUGUUUCCAGAUUCACACAGAUUCUCUAGUUUUCUUUCAUCUCCUGUUCUCUAGUUUAGUCUCCUAAUUUACAUGUUCCUCCCCCAGGUGCUGUGUUCAGGGGGUUCUACUCACCCUGAGGUCCUUUUCUGGGAGAGAAGAGCAGAGCAAAAGAACAAAGCCACUGGGAACAACUGAUGGAAAGAGCAGUGUGCUGACUCUGAUGGAAUCUUCCUACAGGGAACAGAGUUUCAGAACCUGGUUUCUCUGUCUAGGCCUUGUCAGAGAUGGCCACAAGCAGGUCAAUGCCUGUUUUAAGGGGUGGCGGGGUGAGGAGUGGGGAGAGAAAGGGAAAGAAAAAGG